UACGUAGGGUGCAAGCGUUGUCCGGAAUUAUUGGGCGUAAAGAGCUCGUAGGCGGUCUGUCGCGUCGGCUGUGAAAUCCCGAGGCUCAACCUCGGGCCUGCAGUGGGUACGGGCAGACUAGAGUGCGGUAGGGGAGAUUGGAAUUCCUGGUGUAGCGGUGGAAUGCGCAGAUAUCAGGAGGAACACCGAUGGCGAAGGCAGAUCUCUGGGCCGUAACUGACGCUGAGGAGCGAAAGCGUGGGGAGCGAACAGG
rnacentral:rRNA from 1 species